AUUCCCUCCAACUGCGUCUAAAAACCUGAAGUCCAGAGUAACUAUUAUUGGGCUUUAAGUAAAGCAAAGUUAAACUAUUUUUAGUUGAAAAUUUAAUCAAUUUCUGAGGAUUUAUCGUGGAUAUGCUUUGGCCAUGGUGUCUUUUUGGCUGUAUUGCAUUAUUUUUUACUUCUGUGAGUAGAAUCUGUGUUUGUUAUUUUUUUUAUGUCAGGGCUUUGCUGAUAACAUUUGAAUUUUGAUUUUGCAGUUUUGAGUGGAUUUCUAAGAAAAGAAAUUAACUGCUAAGUGGUGAGAUCAGUACAAGGUCUGCCCUAAAACUAAUAUCUCCUAUUUUAAUAUGUUGGCCCAAGAUGCCAGGGGCAGAUGUUGGUGGUAUGGCAGCAGAGGUUGAACCUUCCCACCAAUAUUCUCUUACACUGUGUUGCUGUGGGACAGAUGGCAGCAGAGGGGCAGUGUGACAAAACGACAUCAGACAUGGGAGCACAUAUGGAGCAAAGGUGUGUCACUGAAUUCCUCCAUGUGGACAAAAUGGUACUACUCAUUAAAAUUCACAUUUAUGAGGUCCAAACGGUGGAUGUGAGCACAGUGAGGUGGUGGGUGGUACAUUUCACCAGUGGUAAUAGUGACAGUGGUCACUACUGGUAAUAGUGACAGCGGGUCAGCAGGUGUAGAUUUUUACAAGCACAGCAUGCAAUCUCUUUUCAUUGCUGGUGAAAAUGCAUGGCUAUUCUUGGUGACUAUGUUGAAAAAUAGUGUUUUGUAGCUGGGAAUUUGCUCUAUCAAAUAGUGUUACUGUGCUCUUUGUAUCUGUUGUUGCUUCCAUGGAAAUAAAUCGGGGGCAUUCCUUUCAGAGGAACCUAUGUACAAGGUUAGAAUGUUACUCAUAUUUCCAGACAGCAUGGAAGAACUCAUUCAUGAAUAAAGCAGGCAAGAUCAGAUACCUCACAGUGGUGAUAAACAUCCAAUGUUCUUUCAUGAGUAUGCAGCAUACACUCUUGUUACUUUGGGCACUGGUGCUUCAGCAAAAGAUAUUCAUAACCAGACACGACCUUGCACCUGAUGAACAGUUAUGAGAGAUGUUUUGUAGAAUCUGGUGCACAAGACCAGCCUGGUUUGGUCAGUUGAUUGCAAGGGAUGGGAUUUAAUAGAGCAGAUAAUCCCCUCAGUUCUGCACUCCACAGCUUUUUCCUAAGCAGA
ensembl:lncRNA